AGAUUCGGAGGGGCCGAGAUUUAAAUUUAAUAGAAAAAAAUUCGACCUCGAACGAUAAGAAAAAAAAAAUUUGUCGGAUUCACUGGUUACCUAUUACUAGCAACAAUAGCGACAUUGUGCUUAAAAAAAAAUAAAACUGUAAGAGUUGAAGGAAAAAGACCAAGGGAUUCAAAAAAAAAAUUAGGACAUAAGUUUUAUUAAAAAAAUUAAUUUGGCCCCAAAAAAUUAUAAAUUAUAAUAUUUUAAUUUUUAUUAUAAAGAAAUUUUAUGUAAUUUUAAAAAGUUUAGGAGG
rnacentral:lncRNA from 1 species